AACGAACGCUGGCGGCAGGCCUAACACAUGCAAGUCGAGCGGGGGAGCAAUCCCUAGCGGCGGACGGGUGAGUAACGCGUGGGAACGUACCCUUUGCUUCGGAAUAGCCCUGGGAAACUGGGAGUAAUACCGGAUGUGCCCUACGGGGGAAAGAAUUUCGGCAAAGGAUCGGCCCGCGUUGGAUUAGGUAGUUGGUGGGGUAAUGGCCUACCAAGCCGACGAUCCAUAGCUGGUUUGAGAGGAUGAUCAGCCACACUGGGACUGAGACACGGCCCAGACUCCUACGGGAGGCAGCAGUGGGGAAUCUUAGACAAUGGGCGCAAGCCUGAUCUAGCCAUGCCGCGUGAGCGAUGAAGGCCUCAGGGUUGUAAAGCUCUUUCGUGGGGGAAGAUAAUGACGGUACCCCAAGAAGAAGCCCCGGCUAACUCCGUGCCAGCAGCCGCGGUAAU
rnacentral:rRNA from 1 species